rnacentral:lncRNA from 1 species
AACUUCUCAAGUUCAAGAAGAGGUGAUAGUGGAAGAUGCACAGACAUCCUCAGAUGACAAUGCUCAAUCUGAAGGAGAGGAUUCACUGCAAGACAACUCCACUGAUUCAGAAGAUGAAGUGAAUACUCCUAUUCAAACCACUGCAGCUGAUGUAAUGGUGGAUGUUGAUGAACUUUUCUCUAACACUUACAAUCCACUGCUACAGUCAGGUAUUCCUUCUGACUCUGACAACUUGUCC